GACGUAGGGCGCGAGCGUUGUCCGGAUUUAUUGGGCGUAAAGAGCGUGUAGGCGGCCAGGUAGGUCGGUUGUGAAAACUCGAGGCUCAACCUCGAGACGCCGAUGGAAACCCCCCAGCUAGAGUCCGGAAGAGGAGAGUGGAAUUCCUGGUGUAGCGGUGAAAUGCGCAGAUAUCAGGAAGAACACCCGUGGCUAAGGCGGCUCUCUAGUACGGUACUGACGCUGAGACGCGAAAGCGUGGGGAGCGAACAGG
rnacentral:rRNA from 1 species